GGGCGCGUAGCUCAGUUGGUUAGAGCGCGUCCCUGAUAAGGACGAGGUCCGAGGUUCGAACCCCCGCGCGCCCA
rnacentral:tRNA from 1 species